AGAGUUUGAUCCUGGCUCAGGGCGAACGCUAGCGGCGCGCCUAACCCAUGCAAGUCGUGCGGGAAAGGGGGAUUUCCCCCAAGUACCGCGGCAGACGGGUGAGUAACACGUGAGUAACCUGUCCCCGGGUCCGGGAUAACCACCCGAAAGGGUGGCUAAUACCGGAUAAAGUCACUGGGCGCAAGCUCAGUGAUGAAAGGGGGCCUCUGCAUAGCAAGCUCCUGCCUGGGGAGGGGCUCGCGGCCCAUCAGCUAGUUGGUGGGGUAACGGCCCACCAAGGCGAUGACGGGUAGCCGGCCUGAGAGGGUGGUCGGCCACACGGGCACUGAGACACGGGCCCGACUCCUACGGGAGGCAGCAGGGGGGAAUCUUGGGCAAUGGGCGAAAGCCUGACCCAGCGACGCCGCGUGGGGGAAGAAGGCCUUCGGGUCGUAAACCCCUGUUCUGGAGGAAGAACCCUGAGCGGGUUAAGAGCCCGUUCAGGCUGACGGUACUCCAGGAGAAAGCCACGGCUAACUGCGUGCCAGCAGCCGCGGUAAUACGCAGGUGGCGAGCGUUGCCCGGAAUCACUGGGCGUAAAGGGUGCGUAGGCGGCAGGGCAAGUCGCAGGUUAAAGCCCGGGGCUCAACCCCGGAAAGGCCUGCGAUACUGCUUUGCUUGAGGGCCGGAGAGGCUGGCGGAAUUCCCGGUGUAGGGGUGAAAUCCGUAGAUAUCGGGAGGAACACCGGUGGGGAAGCCGGCCAGCUGGACGGUCCCUGACGCUGAGGCACGAAAGCGUGGGGAGCAAACCGGAUUAGAUACCCGGGUAGUCCACGCCGUAAACGAUGGGUGCUAGGUCUGGGGAGGUAAACUCUCUGGGCCGUAGCUAACGCGUUAAGCACCCCGCCUGGGGAGUACGGCCGCAAGGCUGAAACUCAAAGGAAUUGACGGGGGCCCGCACAAGCGGUGGAGCACGUGGUUUAAUUCGAUGCAAAGCGAAGAACCUUACCUGGGCUUGACAUGCCAGGGUCGUACCCCGGUGGAAACACUGGGGGAGCGUGGGUUUUACUCACGCGCUCUGGCACAGGUGCUGCAUGGCUGUCGUCAGCUCGUGUCGUGAGAUGUUGGGUUAAGUCCCGCAACGAGCGCAACCC
rnacentral:rRNA from 1 species